rnacentral:misc_RNA from 1 species
CCGAGAGAGGGCCGUCAAAACGCCCGACCUCCCAACCCUUUGUCGAACCAAACCACGUUGCCUCGGGGGGCGUCUCGUCGUCUUUCGCGGCGAGCACCCCCAGAGGACCAACCAACUCUGCGUCUUUGCGUCGGAGUAUUGAAAACAAAUCAAUCA